UGACUUCAGCUGCUUUAGGUACCUCAUGUCUCUGACUUCAACUGCUUUAGGCACCUCAUUUUUGGAGAAAAUAAGCAGAAGGCAUGGGGACUGGAAGUUGUGAGGUACGAUGAGGCUUUUGCUGAUACAGGAAUGAUGUCCUCACCCACUGGGCCAUAGGAGUGGCCUCCCAGGAUCAAAGAACAUGGGGAGCCAGCACUGCCAGGACGAAGAAAGAGCUUCAUUACUAUGAACUUGCUUGUGGCUGGAGGAAUUGAAGUGGAGACGCUGACUCCCGUGAGCUUGGAGACUGCAGGGAUGACAACCUUAUGUUACAUUGAUGUGUUCUCAUUUUUGUUGAGUAUGACUAUACUUCUGUACAUUUUAUUUCACUCUUUAAACAUUUAUGUUCCUGUGUUAUGAUUAAUUAAGUGUAGUAAAAUGAAGUGUUUGCAAAGUUAAAA
rnacentral:lncRNA from 10 species